UUUGAUCCUGGCUCAGGACGAACGCUGGCGGCGUGCUUAACACAUGCAAGUCGAACGGAGAACUUAUUUCGGUAAGUUCUUAGUGGCGAACGGGUGAGUAACGCGUGGGCAACCUGCCCUCCAGUUGGGGACAACAUUCCGAAAGGGAUGCUAAUACCGAAUGUGCUCCCUCCUCCGCAUGGAGGAGGGAGGAAAGAUGGCCUCUGCUUGCAAGCUAUCGCUGGAAGAUGGGCCCGCGUCUGAUUAGCUAGUUGGUGGGGUAACGGCUCACCAAGGCGAUGAUCAGUAGCCGGUCUGAGAGGAUGAACGGCCACAUUGGGACUGAGACACGGCCCAAACUCCUACGGGAGGCAGCAGUGGGGAAUCUUCCGCAAUGGACGAAAGUCUGACGGAGCAACGCCGCGUGAGUGAUGAAGGUCUUCGGAUUGUAAAACUCUGUUGUUAGGGACGAAAGCACCGUGUUCGAACAGGUCAUGGUGUUGACGGUACCUAACGAGGAAGCCACGGCUAACUACGUGCCAGCAGCCGCGGUAAUACGUAGGUGGCAAGCGUUGUCCGGAAUUAUUGGGCGUAAAGAGCAUGUAGGCGGGCUUUUAAGUCUGACGUGAAAAUGCGGGGCUUAACCCCGUAUGGCGUUGGAUACUGGAAGUCUUGAGUGCAGGAGGGGAAAGGGGAAUUCCCAGUGUAGCGGUGAAAUGCGUAGAUAUUGGGAGGAACACCAGUGGCGAAGGCGCCUUUCUGGACUGUGUCUGACGCUGAGAUGCGAAAGCCAGGGUAGCAAACGGGAUUAGAUACCCCGGUAGUCCUGGCCGUAAACGAUGGAUACUAGGUGUAGGAGGUAUCGACCCCUUCUGUGCCGGAGUUAACGCAAUAAGUAUCCCGCCUGGGGACUACGAUCGCAAGAUUGCAACUCAAAGGAAUUGA
rnacentral:rRNA from 2 species